ACGAUUGAACUAGACAACUUCCCGGAAGCAGGCACUGCUGCUUCCGUUCAUGCUACUUUCAGACUCAUUUUAGAUGACUUGUCAACCAAAGUUUCCAAAGCGCAAGAUGCUAUUGGAAAAUCAGUCAUGCUAGAACUAUUUGAUCUUCCUGGACAGGUUCUUGGGCAUCAAGGGAAAGAGAAGAACCUUGUGAUAGCAGAUUCUUCAUAUAGCAGGGUCAAAAAGGUUUUUCGCUUGGUUCCAGGUUUGGAUGGAAAGACUGCC
rnacentral:lncRNA from 1 species